rnacentral:rRNA from 1 species
AAUCAACGCUGGCGGCGUGCCUCAGACAUGCAAGUCGAACGAUUAAAGCUCUCUUCGGAGAGUGCAUAGAGUGGCGCACGGGUGAGUAACACGUAAGUAAUCUACCUUCGAGUGGGGAAUAACGUCCGGAAACGGGCGCUAAUACCGCAUAAUGCAGCGGCAUCGCAAGAUGACAGUUGUUAAAGGAGCAAUCCGCUUGAAGAGGAGCUUGCGGCAGAUUAGCUAGUUGGUAGGGUAAUGGCCUACCAAGGCUACGAUCUGUAACCGGUCUUAGAGGACGGUCGGUCACACUGACACUGAAUAACGGGUCAGACUCCUACGGGAGGCAGCAGUCGGGAAUUUUGGGCAAUGGGGGAAACCCGUGACCCAGCAACGCCGCGUGAAGGAUGAAGUAUUUCGGUAUGUAAACUUCGAAAGAAUAGGAAGAAUUAAUGACGGUACUAUUUAUAAGGUCCGGCUAACUACGUGCCAG